rnacentral:rRNA from 1 species
AUUGAACGCUGGCGGCAGGCCUAACACAUGCAAGUCGAACGGUAACAGGAAACAGCUUGCUGUUUCGCUGACGAGUGGCGGACGGGUGAGUAAUGUCUGGGAAACUGCCUGAUGGAGGGGGAUAACUACUGGAAACGGUAGCUAAUACCGCAUAACGUCGCAAGACCAAAGAGGGGGACCUUCGGGCCUCUUGCCAUCGGAUGUGCCCAGAUGGGAUUAGCUAGUAGGUGGGGUAACGGCUCACCUAGGCGACGAUCCCUAGCUGGUCUGAGAGGAUGACCAGCCACACUGGAACUGAGACACGGUCCAGACUCCUACGGGAGGCAGCAGUGGGGAAUAUUGCACAAUGGGCGCAAGCCUGAUGCAGCCAUGCCGCGUGUAUGAAGAAGGCCUUCGGGUUGUAAAGUACUUUCAGCGGGGACGAAGGGAGUAAAGUUAAUACCUUUGCUCAUUGACGUUACCCGCAGAAGAAGCACCGGCUAACUCCGUG